rnacentral:lncRNA from 1 species
UAAAACCAAAGGCAUUUAACUUAUUUAAAUGAUAAAAUAAAAUGAUACAAAAAGUUAAUGGAAAUAAACCAAUAAAGACCACAAACACAAAGGAGAUAUCAAAACCAACAACAAAUUAAUGUCCAAUUUAUUCAAAACCAAUACGAAAGAAGUUUAUAAUUUUCAUAAAAUAGAAUUAAAUCAAACAUUUAAAAUUUCACUUUCAACAUAAAUUAGAUAAAUUAAUUUUGUAUUUUGAAAUACUC